rnacentral:rRNA from 1 species
UACAGAGGGGGCAAGCGUUAUUCGGAAUUAUUGGGCGUAAAGAGCUCGUAGGCGGUCUGUCGCAUCUGCUGUGAAAACUCAGGGCUUAACCCUGAGCUUGCAGUGGGUACGGGCAGACUAGAGUGCGGUAGGGGAGACUGGAAUUCCUGGUGUAGCGGUGAAAUGCGCAGAUAUCAGGAGGAACACCGGUGGCGAAGGCGGGUCUCUGGGCCGUAACUGACGCUGAGGAGCGAAAGCAUGGGGAGCGAAUAGG